rnacentral:rRNA from 1 species
AGUCUAUAACUCCCAACCCAUGUGAACAUACCUUACGUUGCCUCGGCAGGUCGCGCCUACCUCGUAGCGCCCUACCCUGUAGGGCCUACCCGGGAGACGCGGGUAAGCCUGCCGGCGGCCCACGAAACUCUGUUUAGCAUUGAAUUCUGAACAAAUAACUAAAUAAGUUAAAACUUUCAACAACGGAUCUCUUGGUUCUGGCAUCGAUGAAGAACGCAGCGAAAUGCGAUAAGUAAUGUGAAUUGCAGAAUUCAGUGAAUCAUCGAAUCUUUGAACGCACAUUGCGCCCAUUAGUAUUCUAGUGGGCAUGCCUGUUCGAGCGUCAUUUCAACCCUUAAGCCUCUGUUGCUUAGAGUUGGGAGCCUACGGCAAUCGUAGCUCCCCAAAGUUAGUGGCGGAGUCGGUUCACACUCUAGACGUAGUAAUUUUAUCUCGCCUAUCAGUUGGACCGGUCCCCUGCCGUAAAACACCCCAAUUUCUAAAGGUUGACCUCGGAUCAGGUAGGAAUACCCGCUGAACUUAAGCAUAUCAAUAGCCGGGAGGAAAAG